rnacentral:misc_RNA from 1 species
UUAGUUAUGCAGAUUCAAGAGACCAGGAUCCUACCAUCACACUGCCCUUUGAUUUCAGAUUGUCUGAAAUUCAUUUGAAGGAUUCCUUGUUGGAUUUUGAAGAUGAGAAAAUUUACAUUUCACAUUGCUUGAAGAACUUGGAGAGAAAGCUUCACCUUUUCCUUGAUGACGGAAUUUCUGUCGAUGAGUCCAGAGUGAACACAAUAGUUG